UCCCAUAUAUAGCUCCCUGUGGAUAUCGAUCCCGAUAAUUGUUGGGUACUAUUAUUGCAUUCGACCGUUUCAUAACCUUGAUUUUGAGGUGUGAAAUUGAACGAGAUCAAUUUUUGGAAUCGUUAGCUUAAUCCCUUGGGCUUUUACUCAGGCUUCAAUGCUCCAAAUCACUCGAAUUCAUUCCAUAACAUCUACAUAGCUAAGAAUUACUCCUACAAGGCAUAAAACACAUAAUAAGUACAAAACACUAUCAAUUAAAGCUCAAACAUGAAUAAAGUACAGUAAAUUAGAGAGCAAUAAGUGACUAAAACACGAGAUUAUAGCCUACCAUCACUAAUGCAGCGCAAACUCCUCCACCAAUUAAUACAACGACUUUGGAAAACCCGCGUUCAGGGCUUGAUAAUUCUGGAAGUGGAGAAAUUCCUAAUGAAUCUCGUGAUGGAGGGUCAGGUACACCAAAUAAUUCUAAUUUACAAAGUUUAGUACUAACUUUGUAGAAACAGUUGAAGGAAUAAAAUAAUCGUAUAGAGCAGAUACCUGGUGUACCCCCUGUGAUCAAAGGGGUGGAUAUUGAAAAAUAUUCACAAUAACCCUGGAAGACAAGUGCGACACCUUUACCAAUUCCCGAAAAGUUUAAAAUGCUUGAAAUUCCCAAAUAUAACGGAACAACUGACCCUCGAGAUCACGUAAUUGCGUUCACUACCGGCGUGGAAGGCAAUGAUUAAACCAAACAGGAAAUCAAAUCGGUUUUGGUUAAAAACGUUUAGUGAAACACUCACAAAGGGUAUUCUAUUUUACCUAGAAAUUCUAUUUAUUCUUUUGCUAAGCUUGCAGAUUCAUUUAUAAAAGCAUAUUUGGGAGCUCAAAAAGUUAAAAAAAUGAUGGAAGACAUCUUUAAGGUUAAACAAGGGAGUACAAAAUUGCUUAGGGAAUUCAUAGAUAGAUUCCAGCAAGAGAGGAUGAUGUUACCUCGAGUACCUGAUAACUAGGCAGCUAUGUCAUUCGCAAGCAACUUGAACGAGAAAAGUUCAGAAGCCAUGAGGAGGUGGAAAGAAAGUUUGCGAGAAUUUUCUGUAACAACUUGGAACAAUGUGUACAACAGGUACAAUACGAAACUGUAGAUAGAAAAAGAUACGGUCGCACAGCCAAGGGCCGAUGAAAGACCAGGAUCGAGACAUUCAGAAUCAGAAAGGAGGUCUGGUAAAAAUAGGUACGAGCCGUACAUGAGACCUGUAGGGAAAGAUUCUCGAUCUAAACAGGAGAAUGCAUGAUUCGAUUCAAUACCAAGGCAAAAGACGCGAGCAAGAAUAGGAGAUUACACCUUUAACAUCAACACCUACGAGUUAGUGGAUGUGUUAAGAGGUAUUGGAGAUAAGGUGCAGAUGCGAUGGUCUAAAGGAAUGAGAUCAUAUCCAAGAAAAAAAAAUCCAGAUUUGUGAUGCGAGUUUCAGAAUGAUCAUGGCCAUAGAACAGUAGAUUGUAGGCUUCUGCAAGGAAAGGUCGAGCAUUUAUUGAAGCAGGGUUAUCUUACUGAUCUGUUUAGUGAAAAAGGGAGACAAUCAUACAUGAAGAUCAGACAAUAGCCCCUGAAACCUCCAUCACCAAAAAGAAUAGCCAACGUUAUAACUAGAGGAGAUGAGGUUAAUGAAAUAAAAUAUACAGCCGCGAAAAAGACAUCAAAAUUCACGGUCACUCAUGGAAAGCGAGUUCACCAAGUCUUGGAUAGCGACAGUAUAACAUUCAACGAUGAGGAUGCGGACAGCUUGAUGAUUCCUCACAACGAUGUGCUGGUAAUAUCUUUACUUGUAUAUGAUACUAAUGUAAAACGAGUUUUGAUUGAUCUAGGUAGCUUAGUGAAUAUCAUUUUACUAAGGGUGGUGAAUGAAAUCCAACCUAAUGAUAAGGUCAUACCAAAAGCACGGUCCUUGUCCGGGUUUGAUAAUUCAAGUGUUAUUACAAAAGGGGAAGUUGAAAAAAAAUGCAAAAAGUCAAACCCCUGCAAAAAGCUCUAUUCUCUCUCCUUUCUUGGCGAUUCUAUGGAGACUUAGCAGCCAUGGAUGCAUUAAUCUCUCCCCAGCCUUUUGCUGUGGGAGAGGCUGCCUCAAACCCUAAAGAUUUGUCCAUAAACCCUAGCCAAUCAAUUUCCUAUGCUACACGCUUACAUACAAAUCUAGCAGAUUCAUCUUUCCCCAAAACUAACCUAAAACCAGUCGAAAUUAUCCACGGAAUUCCAACUCUUUAGUUAACUAUUGAUGAACGACAUGAAUUUGCAAAGGAAGAAGGUCUUCAUCAAGCCAGUGUUGUGAAGCUUUCAACCGGUGGCCCAGAUUUAGCAACGGUAAGAACUCUACUACCAAAACGUUUUGGUAUUAAAGGGCAUUAUUUGAUUGGAUUUCUCCUAGACAACUGUUGCUAAGAGUUGAUCAAUAUGAUGAUUUCGUCAAUGGUUUGACAAGAUCAGUCACAUAUAAUACGCACAAGGGGAAGGAGCAUCAGGUUAGUGUGUUUUCAUGGUCCAUUGGAUUUACCAAGGUAGUGAUUUCGAUUUCACUACCACACUGGUCACCGGAGUUUUUUGCAAAGAAAGCUUUAUUAUCCAUUGCGUCUGCUAUGGGAAAACCCUUUUCCAUUGAUAAGGCAACUCAAAUAAGAUCUCGUCCAAGCAUAACAAGAGUGAAGGUGAUUCUGGAUUUAAUGGACAAACUUCCUGAGAAGGUGCGACUUCAAUAUGUUGAUUCUACAACUGGUAAGAUAGUAGAGGAGUUCUAGGAAAUUGUUUAUGAUAAUUUGUCGUCAUAUUGCUGCAUUGUAAACACCAAGGUCAUGAGGAUACAGAGUGUCAUCGUUUGAAAGGAAAAACAAUAGCAUCAACUCAUGAUGUGGAUGAUCUAGUCGAGGAAGAUGUUCAAAAUAUUGAAACAUUACAAGGUGAUGCCAGGGACUUUUUGAAUGCAAAGAAAUAACAAAAUUUUGAGCUUGCUAAAACUAUAGGGAACUUAGUUGAUGCUGAACCAGGAAGGUCUUCACACGUUUUGGUGGUAGGCACAACAAAUGAGAAGGACAAUCCUAAUCCUAGUGUGAUGGGGACUGAUGUUGUUGUUCAGACUGUCCCAGCUGGUGUUAUUGGUCAUGGUACAGGUUUGAUUCAAGAUACUAAUGGUAAUGAACAACAAGAGGUUACACCGGUUGAUCAAAGAGGUAGGAGUGGUAAGGUUGAUGAUAUAGAAAUUGGGCAACUGAGUAGUGAUCAACAGAAACCUGUUUCUAAACUCCCUCGUGACAUUCCAGCUGCUACUACUUUAGUGACGAUUUACCAGGUUGUUGGUUCUGCUCUACAAAAUCAUUAUAUUGCACAAAAUGCUCCUGGGGUUCAAACGAUUAAUGAUCGAGGUAUAGUGCAUGCACAUAAUAGAAAAUACUGGUGUAAGAGCUAAAAAAACCAGCAUGUUCUUGUACAAACUCAAAUAACACCAAAGUAUAUUGUAUUGAUAAAUUGGCAGUAAUAGGAACAACUCAGUUAAAGGAAAUUACAGAGAACUCAAACACCACAAGAAUGGGGAUGAGAAGACACGGAGAGAAGGGAGAUGAGAAGACACGGAGAGAAGGGAGAUGAGAGGAUACAGAACUUUCAUAUAAUACAAACGUCAUGCAAUUCUUAUUCUACUAGGUAUUUAUAGGGAAUGCUAAAUCCUAUUUUCUUUCUUCACACUUCACGUAUUCCAGCACUCUGCUGCCAAACAAAGUCUAUUAAUUUUGUUGGAUGUUUUUUUUUACUCUUAUGUUGUGCCUCACAUUUUCUGUUACUUGAGGAGUGCUGAUCUGGCUGCUGACUUGGUCAGGUGCAUGUGCAUUUUUAGCUCUAUCGGUGUUCAUAACAUUACUCACAUCCAAACAAUGAACCUUGUCCACAAGGUUCACGCCCGUAGCAGUAGAAGAAGAGUUUUUGAGAUGCAAGGGAGUGAUUUGUUGUUCAGGUUUUCCUGCACACUUCUUGAGCAUUGAAAUAUGGAAGACAGGAUGAAUUGAAGCCACCUCGGGUAAGUCUAAUUUGUAAGCCACUAGACCAAUGUGUCGCAACACCUUGAAGGGUCCAAAAUACUUCCUAUCCAUCUUGUGCUUCUAAUGGGAACACAAAGAAUGUUGUUUAUAAGGCUGCAAUUUAACAUAUGCCCAAUCCUAACCUGCGGCAUGACAUCCGUGCACUUUCGAUCAGCAAACUUCUUCAUACGACUCUGAGCACGUAGUAAAUCUGCCUUGAGGGCCUCUAGGACCUCAUCACGACGCAGGAAGAACUGUUCCACUAGGUUGUGAGAACUGCCAUCCAGAACAAAACGAGCUAUAGUGGGAGGAGUGUGGCCAUACAAGGCCAAAAAAGAGACAUACCUGCCGAGGUUUAAAAAGAAGUAUUGUACCAGUACUCCGCCCAAGGAAGAAUGCUGACCCAAUCCUUUGGAGAAGCAGUGAUGUAGCAACGUAAAUACUGCUCAACACAUUUAUUGAGGACCUCAGAUUGGCCAUCCGUCUGGGGAUGAUAAGCAGUGCUCAUGGCUAAAGAUGUUCUCUGGAGUCGGUUUAGUUCCUUCCAUAACACAUGUAAGAAACAGGGGUCACGAUUAGUGACAAUGGACUUCGGAGGACCAUGAAGCUUGAUGAUGGGAGAAACAAAAGCCUCCGCAACAGUCAGGGCCGUGAAAGUAGUUGGAAAGGGUAUAAAGUGGCCAUAUUUCAAUAAUUUGUCAACUAUUGUAAUGAUGGUUGUCUUGCCACGAGAUAGAGGCAAGCAAGUCGCAAAAUCCAUGGUGAUCUCCUCAAAGACUUGUUCUGGAAUCGGUAGGGUCUGUAAUAAGCCAGCUGGAUAAUGAUGUAGAUCCUUCAUUUGCUGGCAAGUAGGACAAGUAGCUAUAAACACUUUGAUGUCAUGCCGUAUGGUUUUCCAAUAAAAAUUUGAGGAUAAGCGAUGAAAGGUACGAGCAAUGCCAGAAUGUCCCCCGAUUGGUGAAGAGUGGAACUCAUGGAAUAAGUGUAAACAAAGUGGCGAAUCUGUAGGCAGUACCAAACGACUUUUAAAGAAUAAGAGUCUGUCACGAAAUAAAUAAUCGGGAUAUGCAGUAGGAUCAGAUUGAAGGCCAUGGUGAAUAGACAAUAAUUCGGGAUGCACCUUGUUUGCUUGGCGUAAUGUGUCAAACAACUGAAAGGAUUGACUAGAAAUAGCCAUAAGGGAAGCAGUUGGCGUUCGAGACAAGGCAUCUGCGACGAGGUUGUGCUUCCCCGGUCUGUACAUAAUAUUAAAAUCAUAACCCUACCCAACCAUUUUUGUUGCUCCGCAGUUUGUAUUACUUGAUUAGUGAGGUUCUUAAGUGCUUGCUGAUCAGUGAUGAUGGUGAAGAGUCUCCCCAAUAGAUAUUGGCGCCACUUACUAACAGCUUGAGUGAUAGACAACAUUUCUCGCACAUAAGUAGAAGCCUUCUGCAUUCGAGGACAGAGCCUUAGACUAAAAUAUGCAAUUGGAUGACCUCUCUGAGAGAGAACAACCCCAAUGAUGGUCCCUGAUGCAUCAGUUUCAACUUGAAAUGGUUGAGUGAAGUCAGGUAAAGCCAACACUGGCGUAGAGCUGAGAUAAUUCUUAAGAGUCUCAAAGGCAGUUUGAGCUAGGGGGUCCAAGAGUAAGAGUCAUGACGCAACAAAUCUGUCAAUGGGCUAGCAAUCAUAGCAUAGUUACGGAUGAAACGCCAGUAAUAUCCGGCGAGCCCCAAAAAACUGCAAACCUCCUUAAAAUUGCGAGGCACGGGCCACUGUUGAAUAGUGGUAAUCUUUGUAGGAUCCACUGAUAACCCUUGUUGUGAUAACACAUGACCUACAUAGUCCAUUGUCUCCUGACCGAACAUGCAUUUAGUGAACUUAGCAACCAACUUGUAUUGCCUCAACGUGGAUGGAACAGACUGGAGGUGGUCCAAAUGAAGCUCCCAUGAUGGGCUAUAAACCAGAAUGUCGUCAAACAUACCAAUACAAAUCGCCGCAAAAAGGGGCAAAACACAGAAUUCAUCGUAGCUUGGAAGGUGGAGGGUGCAUUGGAAAGCCCAAAGGCAUUACCAAAAAUUCAUAAUGGCCCUCGUGUGUGCGAAAUGCAGUCUUUGCAAUGUCCUCUGGUUUCCCUCGAAUCUGAUGAUACUCGGACAGAAAAUCGAGUUUAGAAAAAUACCUUGCACCAUGUAAUUCGUCAAAUAAUUCAUCAACUGUGGGAAUUGGGAAUCUAUCUCGUAUGGUGAUAGCAUUCAAGGCCCUAUAAUCAACACAAAACGCCGAGAGCCAUCCUUCUUACAAACAAGCAACAUAGGGGAAGAGAAGGGUUUCGCAGGUGGUAGACUAUGUGGCUUAGUAAAACUAUCUUCGAAUGACUCCAAUAAAGUAGACAAUGUCGGGGGAGGAUCAGGGGACUUCGGAAGUGAAACGCCAAUUAACUCCAAAUGAUAAUAGGUAUCAAUAGCAUCUGUAGUGAAAAUGCGCCUUAAGCACUGAAGUUGGACCGGUUGCACAUCUGGAAAUGACUCACCUAGCCACUGGACCUGCUUGUCAUUCAACACAAAUUCAAUACCCACUGGCCAUAGUCAGUCACCACACGACCCAAAGUAGCAAUCCACGAAAUUCCUAAGACAAUGUCAGAGCCAUACAUAGGCAGGACAAAGAAAUCCAUGGUCAGAAGACACCCUUGAAUGCUAAGCGGAACUUGGCGGACAAGGCCUGCACAUUGAAGACAUUGCCCACUUCCUACCAUAACUGAGAAGGGAGGAAUGGGUUCUACAGCCAAUCGAAGGAAAUUAGCCACACUAUUUUGAAUAAAGUUGUGUGUGCUUUCAUUGUCAAGCAUGACUUGCAUUGGUGAGUGUUGAAUAUAGCCAGUGAAUCUAAGCGUAGAAACAGUGUUACCUCCAGCCAUGGCGUGGUAAGAAAUGGAAGAAUGGUGCAUCACCUCCAAAUUUUGAAGCUCAUCAACCAAUAUUUCAUCUGCCAUAGUUACAUCGGGUAGAGGCUCCUGCUCAAGUGCUUUGUGUUCGAGCAAUAAUAGUUGCGGGGGAGUCUUACACUUAUGGCCCGCGGAGUACUUCUCAUCACAAUGGAAGCACAACCCUUAUUCCCGACGUUGCUGAACCUCGACUGGUGAAAGACGUUUAAUUGGAAGACGAGUGUGGGAAUUACUUUGUGUAGAGAAAGUAGGGUUGGUAGGAGGGGUGGGGAUCUAGGAAAAACUAGUUGCAGCGACCCUCCCCACUCCAAUACAAUUCUCUACUCAUGGGUAUGGGCCAAGUCAAAGACCUCAUCUAAUGUUUUGGGCUUAUGGGCCAAAACAGCCGUCUACAUAUCAGCUCUAAGGCCCGAAGUAAACACAGGAACUAACCACGAUUCCGGAACGUCAUUAGUUUCAUUGGCAAUUGAUUCAAAUCGAGCUUGGAACUCAACGACGGUGGACGUCGGUCGGAGCUUUGAUAAACGACCCUCUGGUGGAAGUAAGGAACGCUUCUGAAAUCGGAUCGUCACUUUCAGGGCAAAAUGAGGCCAAUCACUCAGUUUCUUGUUGCGGAACUACCACCGAUACCAUUCGCGGGCCUCACCGUCCAAAUAGAAUGAUGCAAAGGAGAGUUUGUGAUCCUCAGAGAUAUGAUAGAAAUCAAAGUACCUUUCUGCGUCAAAGACCCAACCCUCUGGAUUAGCACCAGAGAAGCGAGAGGAUAAUUGGCCUCACCUGUGGCAACUGCUUGAGAGUACAAUGAAUUGGCCACCUGAGACAUCAAAUCCAAGAGUAGCUUCUGCUGCCUAGCAAAGGCCGUAGUAAGAUAGCAACGGAGACUACGAGAUCCGCGAUCUCCUUAGAAGACGAUGAAGACAGCAUAAUGUCAGUAGCAGUGGAACUCGAAAUCCAGUCAUGGAUCUGGAAUUAGUGAAAGCACCAAUGGUACAAACUCAAAUAACACCAAAGUAUAUUGUAUUGAUAAACUGGCAGUAAUAGGAACAACUCAGUUAAAGGAAAUUACAGAGAACUCAAACAUCACAAGAAUGGGGAUGAGAAGACACGGAGAGAAGGGAGAUAAGAGGAUACAGAACUUUCACAUAAUACAAGCCUACUGUAAUUCUUAUUCUACUAGGUAUUUAUAAGGAAUGCUAAAUCCUAUUUCCUUGCUUCACACUUCACGUGUUCCAGCCCUCUGUUGCCAAACAAAGUCUGUUAAUUUUUUUGGAUGCUUCUUCACUCUUAUGUUCCGCCUCACAUUUUUUGUUAAUUGAGGAGUGUUGAUCUAGUUGUUGACUUGGUCAGGUGCAUGUGCAUUUUCAGCUAUAUCGGUGUUCAUAACAGGUUCUAAAGGUACAGAUGUGAAGAAUAUCUUUCAGGUUUUGGAGGUGGAAAAUCUGGCUGCUAAGGGACCUGGUAUUGAUCUUGUUCAAGCUUGGAUUGCUGAUAAGUUCCCUUUAGUUGUUGGGCACGUUAAUACAAGGCAGGAACAGGCUAAUGAUCAGUAAGUAUCAGGUGAAAACCAGCAAGUUAUGUUGGUGUUACUGAUGGUAUUAAGGAUAAUUAGAUCGAGAGGAAGGCAGCAACUCUAAUAACUACUGUAGGAGUUUCUAAAAAUCCUGUUGCACUAGGUGAUCUAGUUAAAAAAACCAGCAGCUCCUAUAGCUACUAAUGUGCAACAGGUAGGUGUGGAAAAAAGAGAUGGACAUGUGCUUGCUCCAUCCAAAUCUGGACAUAUUUUAGACGCUUCAGGCAAGUCUGUUACAGCUCACUUGGAGAAAGUAGUUGCACAAAAUGCAAAGGAAAAGGUUGGACAGUGGUGAGGCAGAAUACAUCACCAGGCGCAAAGAAAAAUCAGCAAAUUAUUACUGUUUCAGCAGGUCGAUAAAAUGCUCCAAUGACUGUCACCAGUCAAAACAGUUUUGAAAUAUUAGCGAACGGGAAGAGUGUUGAUAUCAAUCUACAAAUCUUAAAUAAUCCUAACAUGAUGCAACAGUUAAUACCACGUACUAUCAGUGGUGAGGAAGAACGAGGCAGUGAGAAUUUGGCUAACAAAUUUGGUUUUCGACGUAACGCUUCGGAGAACAACUUGGCUGAAAUUUUGAAGGGUGAUAGUAGAUCUCUUUCUAGCUCACCUAGACUGCAUAUUUCAAGUCCAGCAGUGGCCAAAAUCAUCAAGGAAGCCUUAGUUUCCAUGAUGUUAAAUGUCAAUCCCAUGAUCAAGCAACCUUUGGUCACUUUGAAUACAUCGGCACAAGAAGUUCCUUCCCAAAUUGUGGAAUCGUUUGGUGAGCACAGUGGUGGUUCUGGGCAGCCACUACUAUCUACAGGUAAUGAGAAGGAAGUGAUCAAGGAGAGAAGUCAAGAUUUGAGGGAGGUGAUCAAUGAAAGAACAUGCCGACAAGAGGGUCAAGUUCUUGAUCGAAUUUUGCCAAGGCUGAAAACAUGGGCAAAUCAAAUUGAGUUUGAAGAAGAGGAGAAUUGGGAGAAUGAUGAAGAUGAUGAAUUUGAUGAAUUUGCUGAACAAGAAAUUGAGGAUGACUUGCGUUCAGUUGGAUCCCCAAUCUUGCCAAACAAUCAAAUUUCCUCAACUUUGAAUCUCAAGAGAAAGCUCAACUAGGGGUGCUUAUUGGGCGAAUCGGGCGGAUAAUUACACUUAACGGUUCGGCUUAGCAAUUAUCAGAUUAUAAAUAUAAUAAUCCGCUAGCCAUCCAAUAAGACAACGGGUAGAUUGGUAUCAGAUUAAUAAUUAUCGGACGGUUAUCGGGCGGCUUAUCGGAUAAACCAAAUAGAAAUUUUUUGAACAAUAAUUCAAUCAAUACCAAAUAGUUUCAAAUCAAUACCAAAUUUUUAAUACCAUCUAAGAUCUAAACAAAUGGUAUUUUUAAAUUGAAGAGUCUUCAAGACUACUCAUACUGUCAUACAUAUAUUAACCAAAUAUGUAAAAUCAGAAAAGCACAUUCGUUCAGUAAUCAAUCAAACUUUCAGAAGGACAUUCGAUUAUGUAAUAUACAAAUAGAUAAAGGUACAACAUGUGAGAAAAAUCAAUAUUCAUAUAAAACUGGGCAACCACCUGUAAUUGUAUCAAGAAGUUGGAAAAAGAAUAGUAAUAUACAAACAACAAUGGGAACGAAAGACAGAUAAACAAUGGUGUAAUUUCUUAAAACAGCGAAGAUUGAGUAGAAAGUUGAGAUAAACUUUCUAAAUUUCCAAGAAAACACUUCCAAGUUCCAAAUUGAUGAUAAGUAGUUCACAAGAAGUAGUAAUCAUCAUAUUAUAAUCAGAUGAUGAAAUGCUACGAGCAGAUUCAGAUUGAGACGAGAGCGAGAUUGCCUUACUGUGUGACGAGUAACGAGUGAUGACUAAUGAGCACGAGGUGAAGAGCAGAUUCAGAUUUGAAUUUUUCGACUUCUCAGUUCUCAGUUCUCAAUUCAAGAGAGAGACGACGACUUCUCUACCUCUAGUGGCUGCAGACAAUUGAGAAUUAGGAAAUAGA
rnacentral:lncRNA from 1 species